UGGGGAAUUUUGGACAAUGGGCGAAAGCCUGAUCCAGCAAUGCCGCGUGUGUGAAGAAGGCCUUCGGGUUGUAAAGCACUUUUGUCCGGAAAGAAAUCCUUGGCUCUAAUACAGUCGGGGGAUGACGGUACCGGAAGAAUAAGCACCGGCUAACUACGUGCCAGCAGCCGCGGUAAUACGUAGGGUGCAAGCGUUAAUCGGAAUUACUGGGCGUAAAGCGUGCGCAGGCGGUUUGCUAAGACCGAUGUGAAAUCCCCGGGCUCAACCUGGGAACUGCAUUGGUGACUGGCAGGCUAGAGUAUGGCAGAGGGGGGUAGAAUUCCACGUGUAGCAGUGAAAUGCGUAGAGAUGUGGAGGAAUACCGAUGGCGAAUGCAGCCCCCUGGGCCAAUACUGACGCUCAUGCACGAAAGCGUGGGGAGCAAACAGGAUUAGAUACCCUGGUAGUCCACGCCCUAAACGAUGUCAACUAGUUGUUGGGGGAUUCAUUUCCUUAGUAACGUAGCUAACGCGUGAAGUUGACCGCCUGGGGAGUACGGUCGCAGGAUUAAAACUUAAAUGAAUUGACGGGGUCAUAGCUGUUUCCU
rnacentral:rRNA from 1 species